AUUGAACGCUGGCGGCAGGCCUAACACAUGCAAGUCGAACGAGUGGCGGACGGGUGAGUAAUGUCUGGGAAACUGCCCGAUGGAGGGGGAUAACUACUGGAAACGGUAGCUAAUACCGCAUACCAUCGGAUGUGCCCAGAGGGGAUUAGCUAGUAGGUGGGGUGAUGGCUCACCUGGGUGACGAUCCCGAGCUGGUCUGAGAGGAUGACAGGCCACACUGGAACUGGGAUACGGUCCAUACGCCUACGUGAGGCAGGAGUGGGGAAGUGGGGACAAUGGGCGAAAGCGUGAUGGAGCCAUGCCGCGUGUAUGAGGAGGGGCUUCGGGUUUUAAGGUACUUUACCUGAGGAGGCGUUACUCGCAGAAGAAGCGCCGGCUAACUCCGUGCCAGCAGCCGCGGUAAUAC
rnacentral:rRNA from 1 species